UGGGGAAUAUUGCACAAUGGGCGAAAGCCUGAUGCAGCAACGCCGCGUGAGUGAUGAAGGCCUUCGGGUUGUAAAGCUCUGUCUUCUGGGACGAUAAUGACGGUACCAGAGGAGGAAGCCACGGCUAACUACGUGCCAGCAGCCGCGGUAAUACGUAGGUGGCAAGCGUUGUCCGGAUUUACUGGGCGUAAAGGAUGCGUAGGCGGAUACUUAAGUCAGAUGUGAAAAUCCCGGGCUUAACUUGGGAACUGCAUUUGAAACUGGGGAUCUAGAGUGCGGGAGAGGAUAGUGGAAUUCCUAGUGUAGCGGUGAAAUGCGUAGAGAUUAGGAAGAACACCAGUGGCGAAGGCGACUUUCUGGACCGUAACUGACGCUGAGGCAUGAAAGCGUGGGGAGCAAACA
rnacentral:rRNA from 1 species